UACGGAGGGUGCAAGCGUUAUCCGGAAUCACUGGGUUUAAAGGGUGCGUAGGCGGUUCGGUAAGUCAGUUGUGAAAUCUCUUGGCUUAACCAAUGAAAUUGCGAUUGAUACUGUCGGACUUGAAUAAGGUUGAGGUAGGCGGAAUGUGGCAUGUAGCGGUGAAAUGCAUAGAUAUGCCAUAGAACACCGAUUGCGAAGGCAGCUUGCUGGACCUUUAUUGACGCUGAGGCACGAAAGCGUGGGGAGCAAA
rnacentral:rRNA from 1 species